GAUGAACGCUAGCGGGAGGCCUAACACAUGCAAGCCGAGCGGUAGAGAUUCUUCGGAAUCUUGAGAGCGGCGUACGGGUGCGGAACACGUGUGCAACCUGCCUUUAUCAGGGGGAUAGCCUUUCGAAAGGAAGAUUAAUACCCCAUAAUAUAUUGAAUGGCAUCAUUUGAUAUUGAAAACUCCGGUGGAUAGAGAUGGGCACGCGCAAGAUUAGAUAGUUGGUGAGGUAACGGCUCACCAAGUCUACGAUCUUUAGGGGGCCUGAGAGGGUGAUCCCCCACACUGGUACUGAGACACGGACCAGACUCCUACGGGAGGCAGCAGUGAGGAAUAUUGGACAAUGGGUGAGAGCCUGAUCCAGCCAUCCCGCGUGAAGGACGACGGCCCUAUGGGUUGUAAACUGCUUUUUAUACUGGAAUAAACCCACCUACGUGUAGGUGGCUGAAUGUACAGUAAGAAUAAGGAUCGGCUAACUCCGUGCCAGCAGCCGC
rnacentral:rRNA from 1 species